GGUUUGUAGAAUCAUAGAAGUGAACUGAGCUCAACGGAAAAUACGUGAAUAUUUUAAAAUUUUUUACACUGGAUACAAGCAGAGGAAUUAACAAAUUUUCAUCUGAAAACUUUUCACAGGUGAAAAAGAAGAAGGAUGGAUGCUGGAUUGGUGAUAUCAAUCCUCCUGGUGCUAACAGUUGCUGUGAAACCAGUAACUACGGAAAGUAGUACUACAGAAACUACUACUGCAAGUACCACAACUGGGCCAACCACAAAAACAAUCACGGGGACAACCUCGACGACCACAGCAGCAACGACAACAGCAACCACCCAACCAGCUACAACAAUAACUAAAACACCAACUACAACUGCAACACCGACAACAACAACUGCAACACCGACAAUCACAACUACAACACCAACUACG